rnacentral:rRNA from 1 species
GCAAGUCGAGCGAGAAAGUUCUUCGGAACGAGUAGAGCGGCGGACGGGUGAGUAAUGCAUAGGAAUCUACCCAGUAGCGGGGGACAACCUGGUGAAAACCAGGCUAAUACCGCAUACGCCCUACGGGGGAAAGCAGGGGAUCUUCGGACCUUGCACUAUUGGAUGAGCCUAUGUCAGAUUAGCUUGUUGGUGGGGUAAUGGCCUACCAAGGCGACGAUCUGUAGCUGGUUUGAGAGAACGAUC